rnacentral:lncRNA from 1 species
AGACAAUUGUAGCGGCAUGAGGGGAGAAUGCCUAGAAAGUACCUGUAUGUGUUGCCUGGUUUUGUGCUACAGUGCAAAGCCCUGAGCAUCCUCACACAGGGUUGCACUCCUCUCCUGCUUGCAGGUCACUGUGAGAACAGAAUUCUGGAUCUUUAGCCAGAUCCAGCAAGGCUCUUUGUAAGCUCUUAUUUUGGGGCCCAUGCAUCUCCACCUGCUGCGGAUGUUAACUUCAGCCCAGUCUCAAUGCAGAGAACCAAUACAGAGAACCAUGAACACAGGGCAAACUUGCUUAUUUGCACUUCAUUUUCUUCGGAUUAUUGAAGGUGCAAAGCUAAAACUUACCCGCCUACCAUAUUCCACAGACCCUCCAGUGUCCCUAUUUUCCAGGGACAGUCCUGGAUUUACAGAAGCCAUCCGGGUUUCUGGUUUGAUCCAGGAAUGUCCCACUUUUCCUUAGGAUGUCUCUAUUUUCAUCAGAGAAAUCUUGGAGGGUAUGGAGUCAUGCAACCUCUGAGCCAAGGAGAUACGGUAAGUAACUACACAACCUUUAGAAGACAUCUGAAGGCAGCUCUGCUUAGGGAAGUUUUUUUAUGUUUUAUUAUGUUUGUAUAUAUGUUGGAAGCAGCCUAGAGUGGCUGGGGCUGUUGUUGUUGUUAUGGAACAGGACUUCCCUAUUUUCAUCAGAGAAAUGGUGGAGGAUAUGUAUUCCACUGUCUAACUUCUUCUUACAGUUAGGAUGCAUCCCAUCAUAGCCAACAUAACAGCUGUCAUCGUAUAAUUUUCACAUAUUACUUCAAACUCCUGAGCCCUAUUGAUUUCUUCCUCUCUCUUUUUUGGAAACUGUAUAUCCAGGCAUGUUCCUGGAUCCAACUCUUUCACUGGAGAUGCAGAAUUCUGUGAGAACAGACAACUACCACCAUUCCUGGCUUGGGAUUGUUUGACCCCGGUUGCCCGUAGAUUAGAAACCUCACAAGUUGUGUUCCUGCAAUGUGCUCUGUGUGCAAACACUCUGUUUUCAGGAUUUGCACUGGCUGCGAAUCUGCUACCGGGCUAAGUUCAGGGUGUCGAUACUAACAUAUAAGGCUCUCUAUACAGCUCUGGACUAGGUUAAGUGAGAGACUACCUUAUCUCUUACACAUCCAGUAGAUAGCUGCAGUCUGUGGGAGAGUAUCGCCUGCAGGUUUCAAAGAUCUCAGAAACCCACCUUGCAGUAACUCAGAGCAGGGCCUUCACUGUGGCUGCCCCUGAUCUAUGGAAUAGCAUUCCUGUCAGCAGGUGCCCACUAGCUGCAUUUUACGAAAACAACUGAAGGCAUUUUUUUCCUGACAGGUUUUCCAAGCUGGAUAAAUGGGUAUUUUCCACGAGGGCCUGUUUUGUAUGGUUUUGCCUUGGCUGUUUUUGUGUUUUAACUGUUUUCAAUUAUCUUUAGUGUACAUUGAAACAGGUGUUUAGAAGGCUGUUAAUAAAUCGACAACGAUGAUGAUGAAAGAUUAUUCCCUUUCAGCCUUUCAUAAUAUGUCUUAUUUCAGAAAAUCCCUCCAUUGUCUUUGCUUCUUCAAAUCUUACCUUUUCCAUAAACGCGAGUGUGCUGCAAAUCCUCCAAAAUUUCAUUUAGCAGAAAUACUCCACUGUUCCUUAUCUUGAGUUUUCAGCAUUCCACUGAUAUCUGCCUGAGCAAUCCUCCUCCGCUCUCUGUCGUGAAGACCACCUCUUCUCUGCCGGUAUUAACUUACUGAGCAAAAGCCUACCCUGCGCAGACUCCCAAAGCAGAUGUGCAAGUAAAAAGACCAGCCAGCUUACACUCACAAUUCAUCUGGUGGUUACAGAACAGCUUCAUUUCAAACACAUUCAGCAACCUUCAGUACCUGGGACAGGCAUCUGGGGCUGGGUGAAAGGUAAUCCAUAAACUGGCAUUUCUGCGUGUAUGCGUGUGUAUUUGAUUGUGAGAUCCUUAUCUAAUGCAUGCACACUAGAAUGGGGGUGGAAAGAUGCCUGUAGAACUGUAGUGCAUCUCAAUAUUUUUGAAACUCACCCUCAACUUCUUAGAAAACAAAGGAGGGUCAAUACUGGAGCACAGAUUCCAGAUACCAGAAAGCGCAGAUUCCCCAUGCGAAUUAGGGACAGUGCUAGCAUAUGAUAGGACACACACCAUGUAUUUAAAACACAUGACUUGCCCUCCCAAAAGAAUUCUGGGCACUGUCGUUUACCUCUUUCAGAGCAACAAUUCCCAGCACCUUUAAGAAACUACUGUUCCCAGGAAAUCAUGUGAUUUAACUGAAUCAUGAGCACACUGCAGAAAACAGAUUCUGUAAAACUCUGUGUGUGAGAGAGAGCAGGAGGCCUCAGGAGUUAGGUUUUUGGUUCAGGAAGCACCUUUCUAAAAUAGGCAGCAGUGGUAGUUUUAAUUUCUGCUUACAAAUGGGGAAUGAGUGCUACCUGGUGAAUUUAUGUUUGGACUGAGAUUUUCAUAGCUACUGUACUGCAUGAUCUCUGCAAGCCUGCUUUCAGGCAUAACAUUUAGGCAGGCCUUAAUGCAACAGGGUAGAUUUCAAAUUCUUCCAAAUUAGCAUAUAGAACUCCCAAUUAGUUCUACUCAACUCAAUAGAGGUUUACACACCAGGAAUCAGCAUGAGUAAAAGGAGAACAAAAAGCAAAGGUAGGUAUUCUGGCCAGUAAGAAACAUUCUAAAAGGUAGAGCAAUACCUUUCUCAGGCCAACCAUAAUGAGAGAAUGAGUGGGGAAAUGGCAAAUCCAAUGUAAACCAGUACAAAGUGACACUUGUUGGAGCAAAAAAAAAAAAGGUUUAAUAUCACAUACAUACUCAUAAGAUGUCAACCCAGCUUAUGCCGGGCCAUGAAAAAGGCAAAUUCCAUGCCAGGGAUUAUUAGAGAAGGAACUGAAAAUUAAAGUGCCACUAUUAUAUAUAUAUAUAUAUCUAUAUAUUCCAGCUGGUAUUUGUCUCCAUCCUGAGAUGAAAGACAAAUUCCUUGACAGGUGGAAAACAGAAAUGAGAGGGAAACUAGUUGGAUGUUGUUGUUAAAAUUUCCAUGCCGCCCUCCAUCAUUUUAGGUGAUACACUAAGUAAUAAUACAAAUGGUAUGGCGUGUUCAGUGACCCAGGUGGUCAUUUUGAAUUGAUGUAAUCGUCACUUAGCUCCAGACUUGCCACUUGGCAAAUGGAAGGGCUCCUUCUUUUUCUAGAGGAAUCUAGCCGAAGCUCCCCACUGGAAGAAGAGGGGAGCCCAUUUUUUUCAGAUUCCCCCUGCAAGCCACAGAGCCACUGCCCCCCACUGUGCCAGAGAGGGUCCCCCAGCCCUUUGAAGCAGCUGUUGUGAGGCCACAGGGAGGUGGAGGAACAGACCCCCCC